UUAAACAAAUCAAACAAAUAAAACUCCUUCUCAAAUGGUUAAAUCUGAACCCUUGAUUUGACUUAAAACUGUUUUAUUUGCAUAUGUAAAUUGCAUUAGUGACAAACUCUGAUCAAAGUCGAGGUAACUUCCUUUUUUCUCAUGAAGGCCUGUCAGAGUUUCGAGGAAGCGGGACAUUACAGUAGAUCGAUACUGAUCUAAAAGUUUCCGUGACUGUGGCUGAGUCGAACUUACGGAACACAGAAGAGUUCAUCUUGCUCUCAGACGGAUCCCACAACACACAAAGCUCUGCCGAGGUCAUGAGUCUUGAAGAGUGGCAAUGAGUGUUAAAUAAAAAAAAAAAGUACGGAGAAUAAUCGAGACGUCUUCAGUUACAUCCAGUUACAACUUGACUCAUCAGCCAGAACAUUAAAACCCCUGAGAGAAAUUACUUGGUCUAUCUUGGUCAGGAUUGCGAUGAAACAAGAGCCUAUCCUAGGAACAGUGGACAAGAGAUGUUGAUCUUUUGGUGUGGUUUCCUUCUUUUGACACACUUCUUCUGUCAUGGCCAUCCACUGGAGUGUGACACUACUAAAGCAUACAUAUAUAAAAAAGAUGAUACAAAAUGCUGCAAGAAAUGUGCACCAGGUGAACGUAUGGAGAAGGGAUGUACGAAAGAUUCUGAGACCGUGUGUAAACCAUGUAGUUUUGACUUCUACAUGGAUGAAUUCAGUAGAGAAAUGGAAUGCAAAAGAUGCACUCAAUGCACCAAAGAACACAUGGUGUAUAACGUGACGUGCUCUAAGAGUGUUGAUGCAGUGUGUGGCUGCGAGAGUGGAUAUCAAUGCAGCGAUAAGUCCUGUACAAACUGUGAGAAAAUCCCAACACUGCCACCGACAACAAGAACAACAACGACAACAAUAAAAACAACAACAACAGCAGCAGCAACAAUGAAAUCAGCAGUAAUCUCAACUCCCAAAAACUCUGGGCAACCAUUACCAUUCUCCCAAGAUACUGUGUGGAUCACUCUGAGUCUGUGUUGUGUGUGCAUUCUGCUUACCUGUUUCAUUCUCAUCAGCAGAACCACACCUGCAUAUGGAUGGAUCAUGUUGGCUACAGCUGGUUGUUUUUGGCGGUCCGAGAAAACUUCCAACGAAUCCAGUCAGUGCACAGUGGAUGAGGAAGUGCCAAUGCCAGUCCAGGAAGUGUGUGGACAUAAAGAAUGGCAAGAAGAGGUCUAAGGGUGACAGAGGGAAGCGGCGAGGACAAGGCAGGAAAAGGCACAUAAGAGUGUGGAUUGACUAUUCACUGUAACAAAGUCUUAAGAAAUAGUUCGUGUAGGGAGGAGAAAGAGACACACUCAUCCUGCUGCAAACUAAUGGGAUGCUGAGGAAGAAGGGAAAGAAAAUUCCACUGUAUUGAACAUUUAAACUAAUUAAUGGUCCAAUGAAUCAGGGUCUCAUAUAUAAUAAUAAUAAUAAUAAUAAUAAUAAUAAUAAAUCAUUUAAUAUCACAUUUAAAAAAAAAAGGAGGCACAGAGUUUGAUCUCUUUGUGAAGGCAAUGUGUGUACAUUGUGCCCUGCAUUGGACUGGAGUACUAUCUAAGGUGUAGUCUUACCUCAUGCCCAGUAUUCCCACAAUAGAUUCUGGAUUUAUGGAGAUCGAAGAGGAACAGUUGAUUUUUUUCAUAGUUGUUGAAAAAGUUCAUAGUUGUUGCAUUGAGUUGUUUGUGCUAAUAGAUUGAUUUUUUUAUGUUUUAAUUGUAUUUACAAACAUGAGAACCUCUGAUUUUUUUUCCUUAUUUUGGAAAGCUUACUGUCUACAUUUUUAGUAAUUUUAGGAUUAUUAUUGUUUGUACAGAUAGUUGUUUUUACUAGAUCUAUUUGUGAUUGAUAGAAGUUGGCUGAAACAAAGGAAGUUUAAUUGAAGGUAAAUUAAACACCCUUCUAAUAAUAAUAAUAAUAAUAAGAAGAAGAAGAAGAAGACUUCCACAUAUGUAUCUAUGGCAGCCCACAGAAAACUUUGAACACUUUUGAUCGAAUUUGACACAGUAAUUUUGUUGUACACCACUCUAGCACUCUAAUUUCUCCAAGGAGGUAAAGAUUGAAAUAAGUUUGUAGUAAUAACUCUGCAACCCAGCAUCAUUUCAAUUCCUCUCUCCUCUGAUUCUUUGGGUUAUGCCAAUUUCAGGCUUCUUCUUCAAGUUUAUGCAAAGACGUUUUUAGUGAAGUCCCCAAAACAGAAAUUAAUGGCAUAUUUUGGCAAUGGUGAGAUGUAUUAUGGCCACAGGUUGCACGUGAAAGACCAGGACCCAAGGGACUCCUAGAAGAAUUGUAUAAAGUCGCCUCUAGGGGGUGCUAUAAUUCACAAAUUGAUUUUUUUUAAUGACCAACAGGAAGUUGGUCAAUUUGAUUUUAACUGUUGUUGUUGUUGUUGUUUUUACUUAUUCGCCUUCAUAUUUGUAUAAUCAACACAGAAUUUAUUCAAAGCAAAGCGAGAUCCACCUGAACAAAAAUGUUUGAUAUGCAGGGUGGGCCGCUUGU